rnacentral:lncRNA from 1 species
UUGAACAACAAUUAGGGCUUUGAAGGAAAAGGGACACAGUCAGAUUUGUAAUUGAAAGGAUAAUUCUCAUGUCACUGUGGGCAGUGAAUGGCUGGCACCAAGUGGAUGAGGCAUAGCCCUUGGAAGGCUCUAACAGUCAUCCAGGCAAGAGAAGACCUAGCUGAGGUUCAGGUAGUGGCAGGCGAAUCAGACAGAUGGAGGGAUUCAAGGUGCAUUUAGAUGAUAAAAUUGAUGGAUCGUAGUAAAAGGAUUGGUUUAUCAGUGAACAAGGGGAGACAUGUGGAGAAGAUGCCUAGAUUUCUGACACAUUAACCAAAAAGACACUGGGAUUCUGAUGACUGGCCAGGUGUUGCACCUUUCACUUCAUUUCCAGUAGCCAGAGUGAGGAGCAACAAGGAGCCUCCUUCACAUCUCCUGUGAUUGCUUUCACAAGGGAAGCCAGAGUGCUUCCCAUCUCUCCAUUUGUUUGUCAGUAAGUAUGGGGGGAGCCUCCACGGUGUGGGCCCUCGUCUCCCUGCUCUUACUUUGUUAUCCACGGUGACUUUUCAUUUAUGAACUAAACUAUGAUGUUCCGUUUAUGCAACUCCAGGUAAGUUGAAAUUCAACAUUUGAAGAGGCCCGUGUAUCACCUUCUGAAAGAAAAUCAGGUCUGUGCCUUAGAGUGCAAAGAACUAUGUGAAAAAUUUCACAAACAUGUAUUAAAUCAUUAGGAAACUUCUUUGACCUUGCUUCUUAAAAGCCCAUCGACAUACACACAAUUGGCACAAUUAUCACAAAUCGCUCAUCGACAGAGCUUUUAAGGACCUUAACGUAGUAGUGACGUUUGUUUGGUCUGAUUGGAGUUCACUGCAGCUCUGCUUUCUCCCCGUAGUUAGAGUUGAGUGCUCGCGUCCCCUCACAUGUCCCGAACUUUUUGUACUGAUCCUUGGCUACUGUUGUCUCAAUACAACACUCCUCUACUUAAGUGGAUGCUGUGGUAUAUCUAAUAUCUUUUUUUUUAAGAAGUAUGCUUUUUUUAAAAAAAGAUUUUAUUUAUUUAUUUGAGAGAGAGAAUUAGCAAGGUGAAGGACCGAGGGAGAAGCAGACUCCCCACUAAGCAGGAGCCCAAUGACCCUGAGACCGUGGUCUGAGCUGAAGGCAGCUGGUCAACCAACUGAGCCACCCACGUGCCCCGGUACUUCUAAUAUCUUGUCCAUUCCUUCCAUUCGUUCUUAUUUCUCUAAAACGCGUUCCCUCACAUCGUGCUUCACAAGCACAUGUAACAAUCAAGAGAUAGUGUUUUGCCCAAUAUGUUAUUCACCCCCAAAAUAACAUUGGCUGAUAAACGGUUAAUUUUAAAAUAACCUUAAAAUUAGGUAUUCGGUUUUUCUUUCAACAUCAGAAAGUAUUAGAAAGAGAAUUUCAGUAAAAGAAAUCUGCCAUGAAUGCUUAUGAUCACUUUCUUUUCCUCUUGCUGGUUGUACUCCUUCCAGGAGAUUCCAGGUUGGAGCUCCUUCCAAGAAAUUUGAGUUUCACUUAUUUCCAGGAAACAAUUAGAAAAUCA